rnacentral:rRNA from 1 species
GACGAACGCUGGCGGCGUGCUUAACACAUGCAAGUCGAACGGAAAGGCCCUGCUUUUGUGGGGUGCUCGAGUGGCGAAAGGGUGAGUAACACGUGAGUAACCUGCCCUUGACUUUGGGAUAACUUCAGGAAACUGGGGCUAAUACCGGAUAGGAGCUCCUGCUGCAUGGUGGGGGUUGGAAAGUUUCGGCGGUUGGGGAUGGACUCGGGGCUUAUCAGCUUGUUGGUGGGGUAGUGGGUUACCAGGGCUUUGAGGGGUAGCCGGCCUGAGAGGGUGAACGGCCCAAUGGGGCACGGGAUGCGGCCGAGACGCAUCGGGGGGGAAGGGCGGGAGAAUAUUCGACAAGGGCCGGAAGCGGGAAGAAGAAUCCCGGGUUGGGGAAGGCCGGCGUUUGGGUUGAAAGCCGGUUUGGCUGGUAAGCACGCGUAGUGACGGUAACUAGACAAAAAGGCACGGCUAACUAAGGG